rnacentral:rRNA from 1 species
CAUGUAGGCGGCUCGCCAAGUCUGAUGUGAAAGCCCGGGGCUCAACCCCGGAAGUGCAUUGGAAACUGGCGAACUUGAGUACGGGAGAGGAAAGUGGAAUUUCGAGUGUAGGGGUGAAAUCCGUAGAUAUUCGAAGGAACACCAGUGGCGAAGGCGGCUUUCUGAACCGAUACUGACGCUGAGAUGCGAAAGCGUGGGGAGCAAACAGGAUUAGAUACCCUGGUAGUCC